UACGGAGGGGGCUAGCGUUGUUCGGAAUUACUGGGCGUAAAGCGCACGUAGGCGGCUUUGUAAGUUAGAGGUGAAAGCCCGGGGCUCAACCCCGGAAUUGCCUUUAAGACUGCAUCGCUUGAAUUGUGGAGAGGUGAGUGGAAUUCCGAGUGUAGAGGUGAAAUUCGUAGAUAUUCGGAAGAACACCAGUGGCGAAGGCGACUCACUGGACACAUAUUGACGCUGAGGUGCGAAGGCGUGGGGAGCAAACAGG
rnacentral:rRNA from 1 species